UACGUAGGGUGCGAGCGUUAAUCGGAAUUACUGGGCGUAAAGCGUGCGUAGGCGGUUUAGUGUGUGGGAAUUGAAAGCCCGGGGCUCAACUCCGGAUCCGGUUCCCAAACUGCUAGACUCGAGCGUAUCAGAGGACAGUGGAAUUCCCGGUGUAGCGGUAAUAUGCGUAGAUAUCGGGAGGAACACCAGUGGCGAAGGCGACUGUCUGGGGUAUUGCUGACGCUGAGGCACGAAAGCCAGGGGAGCGAACGGG
rnacentral:rRNA from 1 species